rnacentral:lncRNA from 1 species
GAGAGCACCCAGGGCUUGGCCUCAGGGGACAGGGGCUUCGAGAAAAGCAGGAAUACUACCCCAGGGAGUCAGGCAGCUUGGUGAGGCUGCAGCCAGGCCACCUGACCACUGCGACCACUGACCACUGCGAGGAGAAGCCCUCCAGGGGGGCCUUGUCUGCAGCAGGAGGUGGGAAAAUGGAGUCUCAGAGAGCAACGGGGGAGCUGUAAUUCACCAGGCUACGAGCAUCUAAAUCAAUGAACUAAUUAAUGAGUAAACGAGCGAAGAAGAGGCUCACCUAGGGGGAGCAAGAGUGAGAAAUGUGGCCACACAGUGUGCAGGGACACCCUGUGUGCGACUGGUGAAUU